CAGUCGCCACGGUAAUACAGAGGUCUCAAGCGUUGUUCGGAUUCAUUGGGCGUAAAGGAUGCGUAGGUGGCGGUGUAAGUCUAACGUGAAAUCUCGGGGCUCAACCUCGAAAUUGCGUCGGAUACUGCAUUGCUAGAGGAUUGUAGAGGAGAGUGGAAUUCAUGGUGUAGCAGUGAAAUGCGUAGAUAUCAUGAGGAAGACCAGUUGCGAGGGCGACUCUCUGGGCAAUUCCUGACACUGAGGCACGAAGGCUAGGGGAGCAAACGGGAUUAGAUACCCCUGUAGUCCCUGUCUCUUAUAC
rnacentral:rRNA from 1 species